rnacentral:sRNA from 1 species
UGUAAAUAGGAUUGCCAAACCGUACUG